UACGUAGGGUGCGAGCGUUAAUCGGAAUUACUGGGCGUAAAGCGUGCGCAGGCGGUUCGUUAAGUCAGCUGUGAAAGCCCCGGGCUCAACCUGGGAAUUGCGGUUGAAACUGGCGAACUAGAAUCUGGCAGAGGGGGGUGGAAUUCCACGUGUAGCAGUGAAAUGCGUAGAGAUGUGGAGGAACACCGGUGGCGAAGGCGGCAUCCUGGACCAAUAUUGACGCUGAGGAGCGAAAGCCAGGGGAGCAAACGGG
rnacentral:rRNA from 1 species